rnacentral:rRNA from 1 species
AGUGAACGUCGGCGGCGUGGAUUAGGCAUGCGAGUCGAGCGAGAACCGUAGCAAUACGGGGACAGCGGCGAAAGGGACAGUAAUAUGUAGGUACCUACCCUCGGGUCCGGGAUAGCUGCGGGAAACUGCAGGUAAUACCGGAUGACAUCUCCGGAUCAACGGUGUGAGUCCGCCCGGGGAGGGGCCUGCAUCCUAUUAGCUUGUUGGUGGGGUAACGGCCUACCAAGGCGACGAUGGGUAGCGGGUGUGAGAGCAUCGACCCGCGUCAUUGGGACUGAGACACUGCCCAGACACCUACGGGUGGCUGCAGUCGAGAAUCUUCGGCAAUGGGGGCAACCCUGACCGAGCGACGCCGCGUGCGGGAUGAAGGCCUUCGGGUUGUAAACCGCUGUCGUAGAGGAGGAAAUGCAGGGGGGUUCUCCCCUCUGUUUGACCUAUUCUAGGAGGAAGGACGGGCUAAGUUCGUGCCAGCCGCCGCAGUAA